rnacentral:rRNA from 1 species
UCAGACGAUGCGUCAUGCAUAUCAAUAAGCGGAGGAAAAGAAACUAACAAGGAUUCCCCUAGUAACGGCGAGUGAAGCGGGAAGAGCUCAAAUUUGAAAUCUUAAAGGGUUUCCCUUUACGAAUUGUAGUUUAAAGAAGUGUUUUCUGUUGAGGUUUUGGUAAAAGUUCUUUGGAAUAGGACAUCAUAGAGGGUGAGAAUCCCGUAUUUGACCUUUACUUUCAACUUUGUGAUACACUUUCAAAGAGUCGGAUUGUUUGGGAAUGCAGUCCAAAAUGGGUGGUAAAUUUCAUCUAAAGCUAAAUAUUGGCGAGAGACCGAUAGCGAACAAGUACCGUGAGGGAAAGAUGAAAAGAACUUUGAAAGGAGAGUUAAACAGUACGUGAAAUUGUCAAAAGGGAAGCGUUUGACACCAGUGUUGUUUUUCUGAAAAUCAAUUAAAGAACUGUUUAUGCUAAGCUGUUUAGACUUUAUCAGCUAAUCUGUUUAGUUUUGAGCUUUUCUUUAAUGCACUUUUCAGUUAACAAGUCAACAUCAAUUUCUUUUGCUGUAAAAAAGCUUGAGGAAGGUGGCUUGAGAUUCGUCUUAAGUGUUUAUAGCCUCUUGCCUAUGCAGUCGGAGAGAUUGAGGUCUGCAGCGUAGAUCCUUCGGGGCUAAAUGCAUUUGUGCUAAGUUAUAGCAUUUUAUAGACAACUUGUUGACUAUGAUUUGUCUUGUAGCUUACUCGCUUAUGUUAUUUUACCUACGCUUAGGAUGUUGACACACGCGCGUGCUC